rnacentral:rRNA from 1 species
AGAGUUCGAUCCUGGCUCAGGAUGAACGCUGGCGGCGCGCCUAACACAUGCAAGUCGAACGAUUAAAGCACCUUCGGGUGUGUAUAAAGUGGCGAACGGCUGAGUAACACGUGGGCAACCUGCCCCUCUCAUUGGGAUAGCCACGGGAAACCGUGGAUAAUACCGAAUACUUCGAGUCUCCCGCAUGGAAGACUCGAGAAAGCUCCGGCGGAGAGGGAUGGGCCCGCGGCCUGUUAGCUUGUUGGUGGGGUAACGGCCUACCAAGGCAAUGAUGGGUAGCUGGGUUGAGAGACCGACCAGCCAGAUUGGGACUGAGACACGGCCCAGACUCCUACGGGAGGCAGCAGUGGGGAAUCUUGCACAAUGGGCGAAAGCCUGAUGCAGCGACGCCGCGUGCGGGAUGAAGGCCUUCGGGUUGUAAACCGCUUUCAGCAGGGACGAGGCGAAAGUGACGGUACCUGCAGAAGAAGCCCCGGCUAACUACGUGCCAGCAGCCGCGGUAAUACGUAGGGGGCAAGCGUUAUCCGGAAUUAUUGGGCGUAAAGAGUGCGUAGGUGGUUACCUAAGCGCAAGGUUUAAUUUAGAGGCUCAACCUCUACUUGCCUUGCGAACUGGGCUACUUGAGUGCAGGAGGGGAAAGCGGAAUUCCUAGUGUAGCGGUGAAAUGCGUAGAUAUUAGGAGGAACACCAGCGGCGAAGGCGGCUUUCUGGACUGUAACUGACACUGAGGCACGAAAGCGUGGGUAGCAAACAGGAUUAGAUACCCUGGUAGUCCACGCCGUAAACGAUGAGUGCUAAGUGUUGGUCUCAUAAGAGAUCAGUGCUGCAGCUAACGCAUUAAGCACUCCGCCUGGGGAGUACGACCGCAAGGUUGAAACUCAAAGGAAUUGACGGGGGCCCG